rnacentral:rRNA from 1 species
AUGGUUAUAAACCGUGUAGAAAAUAGUGACAAAUCUGUUGAAGAUUGGAAUAGCGACGGUGAUGGAUCAGGUUGUUCAACGGGGUUAGCUGGAACACCAUGCUUCACCUCGCGGUUAUAUGUGCUAAAGGCUGCUUCAGUAAUUGCUCAGUUUAGCGAAUUUAAGAGGCAGUUAGUUAGCGAAAUCGGUUUUGGAGGAAUGUUAGAGUUGAAGUCAUGGCAAAAGAUUAAUCUGAAAUACAGUGCGUACUUGAUGGAUAGAGUUGAUUUAGAUUCAUGCUCCUUGAACCUGGAGUCACAGGAACAAUCAACGGAAACAGAGAAGCAUUGUUUCAAAAUUGCCUUUGUGAUUUUCAUCAUUGGACAUGUGCUUGCUCCGACCGCCAAACAUGACUACAUAUCAGUAGAUUUUUGGGCUGCACUGAACGAUGUCAACAAGAUCAAAGAUUGGAACUGGGGGGUGUUUGUUCUUGACAACUUAGAGCUCGGUCUACUAAACAAGCAACAAGGAGUAACACCAAGAAUAGGCUUGUACGAUUAUGAGUCAAUGAAAAAGAUGGUCGAGCAAAUCACAGUAAACAUCCCAGGUGGUGAAGUCACUUUCAGCGGUGGCAAGUCAGCACAGAAACUUGGCAUUCUCCUCCGGGAACAAAAUGCACGCGGCCUGGCAAACAUAUCGGAAAUGCGGUAA